GAACAAGUCGGGUGCGUUAGGUCCUAUAAUAAGAGCGCUCGAAUCCACUCAGGGUCGCGCGUACUGGAUCAUGGAACCCGGGGGAGUGAGUUGAAAAAGCGAACAACCUGGAGUUCCCGGUGGUACCGCUAAAAAUUCAGAGAAGAUCCACAAGCAACCCCAAGGGGCGCAUCUCGCCUUUCUACUCUGUAACUGCCGCUGAGCGCGAGAGCUGGGGAGCUACAGGCUUAGAUACCCCGGUAGUCACGCAUAAAACGAUGAGUGCUAAGUGUUAGGGGGUUCCGCCCCUUAGUGCUGCAGCUAACGCAUUAAGCACUCCGCCUGGGGAGUACGGCCGCAAGGCUGAAACUCAAAGGAAUUGACGGGGGCCCGCACAAGCGGUGGAGCAUGUGGUUUAAUUCGAAGCAACGCGAAGAACCUUACCAGGUCUUGACAUCCCGCUGACCGCCUAGGAGACUAGGCUUUCCCUUCGGGGACAGCGGUGACAGGUGGUGCAUGGUUGUCGUCAGCUCGUGUCGUGAGAUGUUGGGUUAAGUCCCGCAACGAGCGCAACCCUUGAUCUUAGUUGCCAGCAUUCAGUUGGGCACUCUAAGGUGACUGCCGGUGACAAACCGGAGGAAGGUGGGGAUGACGUCAAAUCAUCAUGCCCCUUAUGACCUGGGCUACACACGUGCUACAAUGGACGGUACAAAGGGCAGCCAACCCGCGAGGGGGAGCCAAUCCCAGAAAACCGUUCUCAGUUCGGAUUGCAGGCUGCAACUCGCCUGCAUGAAGCCGGAAUCGCUAGUAAUCGUGGAUCAGCAUGCCACGGUGAAUACGUUCCCGGGCCUUGUUCUCGCCGCCCGUC
rnacentral:rRNA from 1 species